rnacentral:rRNA from 1 species
AUGGAUGCCACCACGGCGAAGCAGCUCAGGCGGCUCCGCACGCUCGGCCGCGGCGCGUCCGGCGCUGUCGUCUGGCUCGCCUCUGACGACGCCUCCGGCCAGCUGCUCGCGGUCAAGUCUGCCGGCGCCGGCGCGGCCGACACGCUGCGGCGCGAGGGUAGUGUCAUGGCGGGGCUCUGCUCCCCGCACAUCGUCCCGUGCCUCGGCUCCCGCGCCGCGCCCGGCGGCGAGUACCAGCUCUUCCUCGAGUUCGCGCCGCGCGGCUCGCUCGCCGACGAGGCCGCCAGGAGCGGCGGCAGCCUCGCGGAGCGCGCCAUCCAGGGGUACGCGGCGGACGUGGCCAGGGGGCUGGCCUACCUCCACGGGAACUCGCUGGUGCACGGGGACGUCAAGGCGAGGAACGUCAUGGUCGGCGCCGACGGCCGAGCCAAGCUCGCGGACUUCGGGUGCGCGAGGGCCGCGGAUUCCGACCGGACGAUCGGCGGCACUCCGGCCUUCAUGGCGCCGGAGGUGGCGCGCGGGGAGGAGCAGGGCCUGGCGGCCGACGUGUGGGCGCUCGGCUGCACCGUCAUCGAGAUGGCCACCGGCCGCGCCCCCUGGAGCGGCAUGGACGACGUCUUCGCGGCGGUCCACCGGAUCGGAUACACGGACGACGUGCCUGAGCUGCCCGCGUCGCUGUCGCCGCAGGCCAAGGACUUCCUGCGCAAGUGCUUCGCAAGAAACCCCCGCCACCGGUCCACCGCCGCGCAGCUCCUAGAGCACCCGUUCCUCGCGUCCGCCUUCCACGACGUCGACGCGGAGCCGGCGAAGCAGGAUUGGAUCAUGUCCCCCGAGAGCACACUCAACGCGGAAUUCUGGGAGUCGGACGAGGAAAGCGAAACAGAGGACAUGCUGACGAGCGCGGCCGAGAGGAUCGGCUCGCUGGCGAGCCCUUGCUCGGCCUUGCCAGACUGGGAGUCCGACGAUGGCUGGAUCGUCGUGCACGGCGGACGCCCUGAAGCUUCAGAAACAACGACGCCCACGGCGAUCGCCGGCACAGACUUCGGUCCUUGGAGUGAAGAAGGAUUGGAAGCCGAGGUUGAUGUCCAUUUCGCUGGUGCUGAUGCCGGCAGGUGGUACGACCUUGUGCGGAAUGUGGAUGGAGCGCAUUAUUUCGGUUGGUACGAGAGAGAUUUGGGUGUCAGUGUCGUUACUGAUAGACCGUUGUGCCUCAUUGUUAGUCACGGACGCAAAAUUGUAAAAUUCGGUUGUCAUUGCGACAGAGAAAGAACAAUGCAUUUUGAUUUUGCACAAAUAUUUCGUUCUCUUGAGCUUCCGUCGCAUGCUGUGUGCAUUUUAUCUUCCACUGAAUGGGGGUAUUGUCGUUUUUUGGCCUUUUCUUUUUAUAACUAG